rnacentral:lncRNA from 1 species
CUUCUCAUCAUCCCUGUCUGGCGAGUGGGUUACUAUUCCUUUAGAAGGUUGAGAGGAUUGUUGGCACCUUUACCUUCCUCCGAAAAUAAGACUUAACAAAUAAAAGCACACCAAGAUACAGUUCUCAUAAGACCUUGUGCAUUUCCUUUCUAAAAGGAAUUUAAGUUUCAACAGAGAACAAAGACUAAACACCCAAGUGUUCUGUGCAGUUUAAAAUAAUUCUUACCAUGUAAAUAUGUUACAUUUUAAUAAAAAGAUUUUUUUUGCAUUUUACUUUUGUAAUAUUUGGGGUUUUAUAGAUUUUUAUUUUAUUGCCAAGUAUACUUUUGUAAGGGAAUGUUGAAGUCUUGAGUAUUUUUAUUCUUUUCAAACUAUAGUUAAUGUCAACUGUAAGCACUGAUAAAUAUUAUUCAUAUGCGAUUUUCCUUCCUCUCCAUCGGGUCUUUUUAAGGAACUGUGUUUUGGCAUAGCAUUUUAUUUAAAACUCUGCUUCAUUUUACACAUUGUGAAUACUGAAGACUCUGAAAAAUAAAGAUGCAUUUAAAAUCUCUGUGCUGCUACAUUUUAGAAAUGGUAAUGUGCAUUGCUUUGCCAGAGUGGUAAUUAAAUGUUUAAUGGUUUAGAACUCCUAGUUCAGAAUGGGGGUUCUAGUCAUUACUCACAGUACGGAGCCUCUGAGCCAGCCCCCACUUCUUGGGAGAUGCACACGAGAAUGGUGAUUUCCUGCUCAGUGUGGAAAUAUGGUUAUGUUGACAUUAUAGUUACUGUGCUGUGGUUUUGAAAUAAAUGUGUAUUGAAAGCACU